GUCCGGUGCCUGCAUGCAGGAGAAUCGGGAAGCCGGUGCAAAUCCGGCACGUGCCCAACGCUGUAUAGGGGAUGGGCCGCGCAGAUUGCCACGGGGAAACCCGGAAGGCGCGCGGUUCAGGUGAACCUCAGUCAGAAGACCGGCCGGACCG
rnacentral:ncRNA from 1 species